rnacentral:rRNA from 1 species
AUUGAACGCUGGCGGCAUGCCUAACACAUGCAAGUCGAACGGGGGUAGCGAUACCCUAGUGGCGGACGGGUGAGGAAUGCGUAGGAAUCGGCCCACGAGUGGGGGACAACCUGGGGAAACUCAGGCUAAUACCGCAUGAGCUCGGGAGAGGAAAGCGGGGGGAUCUUCGGACCUCGCGCUGGUGGACGAGCCUACGUCCGAUUAGCUGGUUGGUGGGGUAAAGGCCCACCAAGGCGACGAUCGGUAGCGGGUCUGAGAGGACGACCCGCCACACUGGGACUGAGACACGGCCCAGACUCCUACGGGAGGCAGCAGUGGGGAAUCUUGGACAAUGGGCGCAAGCCUGAUCCAGCAAUGCCGCGUGGGUGAAGACGGCCUGCGGGUUGUAAAGCCCUUUAGGCGGGGAGGAAAUUGCUUGGGUUAAUACCCUGAGUAGAUGACGGUACCCGCAUAAGAAGCACCGGCUAACUACGUGCCAGCAGCCGCGGUAAU